rnacentral:rRNA from 1 species
UACGUCGGGGGCAAGCGUUGUCCGGAAUCAUUGGGCGUAAAGAGCGCGUAGGCGGUCCGGUAAGUCCGCUGUGAAAGUCAAGGGCUCAACCCUUGAAUGCCGGUGGAUACUGUCGGGCUAGAGUCCGGAAGAGGCGAGUGGAAUUCCUGGUGUAGCGGUGAAAUGCGCAGAUAUCAGGAGGAACACCGAUGGCGAAGGCAGCUCGCUGGGACGGUACUGACGCUGAGGCGCGAAAGCGUGGGGAGCGAACAGG